CUUCCUUUGCUCCCCCCCCCCCACUUUCAAACCUUUGUCGGAGCCCAAAAAACUAUUUUCGAGUGUUUUGAUUUGCCCAAGCUUUAUAGAUUUUCAGCACAUUUCUUCGUCUACAAAGACAUAUUUGUAUAAUAAAACUCCUGUUUGAAUAAACGCGGAUAUCAACGAGGAGCAGGACCGUAGCUACCAUUGUUCUUGAGGAGCUCGCCCCCCCCCCCCAAUCCUUCCUAAAAUUUUCUUAAAUCCUACUUCCAAUUAACAAUCCCUUUGCUCUUAUUGUUCUCAAACAAUGCCCCGUAAUGAAAGCCAGUUAAGGGUUGUGCCAUGAAGUAAUAACGAUCAAUGUAAGUAAAUUGUACCAGGAAAAACUUUUUUUUAAUAAACGACGUUUCGAGCAUAGCCUGUUAUCAAGUGUCAUGAAGUAGACAGCAAAUUCAGAUUUGAACUGAAUUAAAGCUAGAAGCAGCGGGUAUCUUCAACUGAGGUGAGUUCUUUCGGGAGGCCUAUGCAUGAACUCCAGCAAAGCGCAGGUAGGGGAACUGAUGAGCUAUUCACGCGACACGUUUUGGUUUGGGCUUCGUCACGAGAGAAGCCUCUCCUAUGAUUUUAAUGGAAAGGUCCUGAUAACGUUUUUGCAAGAGCAAGAGUGACUCAAUGGAUAGCUAAACCUCUAAACUUUCAAGCGUGUGGCUCCCAUAUAGACCUAUUUUUGUUAUGAUAUCCUAUACUGGCAAUUGUAACUUAGCGGUUUGAUAAAAAUAAAAUUGACAAAUGAUGUGCGUGUCCCUUGUUCGGUCAUAUGAGCUCUCAUGAAAUUCAAUAUUAGUUUCAGCUUUUGUCUGCACACAAUUGCAACCUGUCCGCUUGCGAACGGGCUACCAAAGAUACGUCGAGUGAUAAAACAUAAAAGCGAUGCAACUUUAAAGCAAGGCUGUGCAACAAGAUUACUUUAUUGCUGUGUUACAGUUACCACAAGGUUUCUUAAGCAAGCAUCUUUGUUGUCUUGAAGAUCAAAACUUGUCCU